UGUGAGGGACGGUGUCUGUGAUGGGGGAUUUACUACGCUGAGUCUGAUAUUCAUGAUAUUACGAAAUACAUACAUGCAGGAAUCGAGUUACAGCCUUAGAUCACAUAUCAAAAUAAUUACCGGUAGUACUUCCUGGUGGUGUUAGGAAUACACGUGUGCAUUCUUACAGUGAACCACCAAUAAUAAACAGACAUGAGAAAUGAGCUGAAUCAUUAUAAGAGAAAAUGGAACAAAAAUCGAACUUUUAUUCACCGUCCUUUGGGUUGCAGCAAAAGUGAUACAUAUGAACGGUUUGUUUUGUGAUACAGAGUAUGCGGGAUAUUGAGGACGUAUAUUACAAACCUUGGACUUCUCAGUACAUUUACAAAGGAGUCAAUCAAUCCAUGAUAUUACGCAGCAUUAGUUACUGAAAAGAAGUUUGGAACACCCUUGUGACGAAUCUAAAUAUUUUUCUCAACAUUGAAGCAACAAUAGUCUUGGAUAACUUGUUUUAGGGAAAGAAAACUGGCCUGAGUUUGUUUUUUGUCUGGAAAUCUGGAUCUUUUCCUUAGGAAGAAAUUCCACUAGUCUAGAAGUUUUGGUAGAAAAGCUUUCCGAUUUGGAUUUCUUGCAAUCAGGGACAUAAGAGUGCAUCAGUGAUUUCUCUCUAUUGGAUACGCACGAAGCUUCUAGAUGCAGCGUUUUCUGUGAUUGGAAAAAUAUAUGACAAGAAAGAUGCUCCACUACAUACCAAAGUUUUGAAUGCUGAAGUAACUGUGCAAGGAUACCAUAGGAUCUGUCCCUGCGUGUUUAGUCUAAUAUACCACUAUUCAAUUCAUCCACACGUUCAAAAUGAAGGCGAGGGCAAUACCUGUGCACUCGAAACCAUCUCAUCAAACCUUAUUCACAUCAAUUUCAACGUAGCUAUUUAUGUAAAAACUAUAUGUAUAUAGAACUGUAUUUAGCCUUCCGGUGCCUUCGGAUAUUGGUCUUGUCUCACAAGAGCUGCGUAUAUCUUUUUAGAGCAAAAUACAUGGAGUAUUUUAUUUUUCUCACAAAAAACUGUAAGGAACCUACUAAAGGAAUGUACAUAGCCUUAGCCUCCAAGAAGAAAAGUUUUACUCUGGAGCUAGUAUUCUUUUCUUAGUAGAACUGAAUAAAGCCCUCUAGAGAAAUAUUACUCCACAGUUUUUCAAAUGAUAAUUGUACUAAGCCGUCUAGAGGAAUAUAACAGCAUAGUUCACAUUUUGUAUUACAAGAACUCUACGUAGAAUUCAAAGGAAUAUUACUCAUUUGUUCAUAUUUCGUCUAAUUAGGAAUGUACAAAGUCUCCUAGUGGUGUCGUAUUAGAAAUGUAUGUAAAUUUCGAGAGGAACACACCUUCGU